rnacentral:lncRNA from 1 species
GGAACUGCAUGCUCGCCUCUGAGAGAACGUCGUACGUUCAUUCUCCAAGGGAUUGAUUACUCGUUUCAGGUGUUUGAUUUAAUUUCUACUAUUAUUAUAGAAGGAUAUUAAAAUCCAACUUUAUUUCUUUGUAUAAGGCUUCAUGGACCUCCUGGCUUAUGAAGAGCCUGAAAUGCUGAGAAGUCACCUAUGUUUCAUCUACAAAGCCCAGAGCAUAGGCAGCAUGUUGCAGAUAGCUUGAAUCGAGGUGUCCUUGAUAUGCUACAGAUACGAUGUUUAGCUCCUACCAUUAUAAGCUUUAUUUCCCAGAAUAUGAUUAAGAUCUUCCUCUAUGAUUAACAAUAGUGCAUGCUAAUCUUCCGACACAUUCAUUGUUGGAGAGUGGUACAUCAAGCAACUGUG